rnacentral:tRNA from 2 species
AGGCCGGAGGCGAUCAGGGCGCCGCGGCCGGUCUCGUUGGCCUCACCGAAGGCGUUCGCGAUGUUGGCGGCGAUCGAGUUGCCGCCGUUCUC